UACGUAGGGUGCGAGCGUUAAUCGGAAUUACUGGGCGUAAAGCGUGCGCAGGCGGUUCGCCAAGUCAGGUGUGAAAUCCCCGGGCUUAACCUGGGAAUGGCAUUUGGGACUGCAAGGCUGGAGUGUGGCAGAGGAGACUGGAAUUCCUGGUGUAGCAGUGAAAUGCGUAGAUAUCAGGAGGAAUACCGAUGGCGAAGGCAGCCCCCUGGGUCAAGAUUGACGCUCAUGCACGAAAGCGUGGGGAGCAAACAGG
rnacentral:rRNA from 1 species